rnacentral:rRNA from 1 species
AUUGAACGCUGGCGGCAGGCCUAACACAUGCAAGUCGAACGGUAACAGAAAGCAGCUUGCUGCUUUGCUGACGAGUGGCGGACGGGUGAGUAAUGUCUGGGAAACUGCCUGAUGGAGGGGGAUAACUACUGGAAACGGUAGCUAAUACCGCAUAACGUCGCAAGACCAAAGAGGGGGACCUUCGGGCCUCUUGCCAUCGGAUGUGCCCAGAUGGGAUUAGCUAGUAGGUGGGGUAACGGCUCACCUAGGCGACGAUCCCUAGCUGGUCUGAGAGGAUGACCAGCCACACUGGAACUGAGACAAGGUCCAGACUCCUACGGGAGGCAGCAGUGGGGAAUAUUGCACAAUGGGCGCAAGCCUGAUGCAGCCAUGCCGCGUGUAUGAAGAAGGCCUUCGGGUUGUAAAGUACUUUCAGCGAGGAGGAAGGUGUUGUGGUUAAUAACCACAGCAAUUGACGUUACUCGCAGAAGGAGCACCGGCUAACUCCGUGCCAGCAGCCGCCGCGG